rnacentral:rRNA from 1 species
GACGAACGCUGGCGGCGUGCUUAACACAUGCAAGUCGUACGGUAAGGCCCUUUCGGGGGUACACGAGUGGCGGACGGGUGAGUAACACGUGAGUAACCUGCCCACAACUUUGGGAUAACGCUAGGAAACUGGUGCUAAUACUGGAUAUGUGCUCCUGCUGCAUGGUGGGGGUUGGAAAGCUCCGGCGGUUGUGGAUGGACUCGCGGCCUAUCAGCUUGUUGGUGGGGUAGUGGCCUACCAAGGCGGCGACGGGUAGCCGGCCUGAGAGGGUGACCGGCCACAUUGGGACUGGGAUACGGCCCAGACUCCUACGGGAGGAAGCAGGGGGGAAUAUUGCAAAAUGGGCGGAAGCCUGAUGCAGCAACGCCGCGUGCGGGAUGACGGCCUUCGGGUUGUAAACCGCGUUCAGCAGGGACGAAGCUUUUUGUGACGGUACCUGCAGAAGAAGCACCGGCUAACUACGUG